GCUGGCGGCAGGCCUAACACAUGCAAGUCGAACGGUAACAGGAAGAAGCUUGCUUCUUUGCUGACGAGUGGCGGACGGGUGAGUAAUGUCUGGGAAACUGCCUGAUGGAGGGGGAUAACUACUGGAAACGGUAGCUAAUACCGCAUAACGUCGCAAGACCAAAGAGGGGGACCUUCGGGCCUCUUGCCAUCGGAUGUGCCCAGAUGGGAUUAGCUAGUAGGUGGGGUAAAGGCUCACCUAGGCGACGAUCCCUAGCUGGUCUGAGAGGAUGACCAGCCACACUGGAACUGAGACACGGUCCAGACUCCUACGGGAGGCAGCAGUGGGGAAUAUUGCACAAUGGGCGCAAGCCUGAUGCAGCCAUGCCGCGUGUAUGAAGAAGGCCUUCGGGUUGUAAAGUACUUUCAGCGGGGAGGAAGGGAGUAAAGUUAAUACCUUUGCUCAUUGACGUUACCCGCAGAAGAAGCACCGGCUAACUCCGUGCCAGCAGCCGCGGUAAUACGGAGGGUGCAAGCGUUAAUCGGAAUUACUGGGCGUAAAGCGCACGCAGGCGGUUUGUUAAGUCAGAUGUGAAAUCCCCGGGCUCAACCUGGGAACUGCAUCUGAUACUGGCAAGCUUGAGUCUCGUAGAGGGGGGUAGAAUUCCAGGUGUAGCGGUGAAAUGCGUAGAGAUCUGGAGGAAUACCGGUGGGGAAGGCGGCCCCCUGGACGAAGACUGACGCUCAGGUGCGAAAGCGUGGGGAGCAAACAGGAUUUAGAUACCCUGGUAGUCCACGCCGUAAACGAUGUCGACUUGGAGGUUGUGCCCUUGAGGCGUGGCUUCCGGAGCUAACGCGUUAAGUCGACCGCCUGGGGAGUACGGCCGCAAGGUUAAAACUCAAAUGAAUUGACGGGGGCCCGCACAAGCGGUGGAGCAUGUGGUUUAAUUCGAUGCAACGCGAAGAACCUUACCUGGUCUUGACAUCCACAGAACCUUGUAGAGAUACGAGGGUGCCUUCGGGAACUGUGAGACAGGUGCUGCAUGGCUGUCGUCAGCUCGUGUUGUGAAAUGUUGGGUUAAGUCCCGCAACGAGCGCAACCCUUAUCCUUUGUUGCCAGCGGUCCGGCCGGGAACUCAAAGGAGACUGCCAGUGAUAAACUGGAGGAAGGUGGGGAUGACGUCAAGUCAUCAUGGCCCUUACGACCAGGGCUACACACGUGCUACAAUGGCGCAUACAAAGAGAAGCGACCUCGCGAGAGCAAGCGGACCUCAUAAAGUGCGUCGUAGUCCGGAUUGGAGUCUGCAACUCGACUCCAUGAAGUCGGAAUCGCUAGUAAUCGUGGAUCAGAAUGCCACGGUGAAUACGUUCCCGGGCCUUGUACACACCGCCCGUCACACCAUGGGAGUGGGUUGCAAAAGAAGUAGGUAGCUUAACCUUCGGGAGGGCGCUUACCACUUUGUGAUU
rnacentral:rRNA from 1 species